rnacentral:rRNA from 1 species
AUGCCCUCUCUCUUGUCUCUACUCUGUAUUUUGCUCAGCCUUUUCUCCUUCAACACAUCGGCAUCUGCAUCACAAGCAAAUAUCUCCGAGAUUGAUCGCCAUGCCCUCCUUUGCUUCAAGUCUGGCAUCAGCUUUGAUCCCUUUGGCAUCCUACACUCAUGGAGCAAUGGUUCGCUCAACUUUUGUAGCUGGAAAGGGGUCACCUGCGGCAAAAAAAUCCCACCCCGGGUGGUCUCUUUGGACCUCACAUCUGCUCGUCUCGGUGGGCGCUUAUCUGGAUGUGUCGGUAACUUGACUUCUCUAUCCUUGAUGAACCUUGUCGAUAAUUAUCUGCCGGGAACCAUCCCUGGAGAAUUGGGUAAGCUUCCAAACCUCCAUACACUGAAUCUUGCCGGCAGCAAUCUGGAAGGUAACAUCCCUGAUUCACUAGGCACUAGCAAUUCACUUAGCUAUGUCAAUCUUGCAAACAACAGUCUUACCGGUGGCAUCCCUGUCUCACUGGCCAACAGUGUCUCACUCAGUACACUUAUACUGUCACGUAAUAACCUCUCUGGCGAGAUCCCUUCUAUUUUGUAUGUUAAUGGCAGCCUACCUAUAUCAAUCUGGAAGGGAAUGUUCUAA